UACGUAGGGGGCUAGCGUUGUCCGGAAUCAUUGGGCGUAAAGCGCGCGUAGGCGGCCAGAUAAGUCCGGUGUGAAGGUCAAAGGCUCAACCUUUGAAUGCCGCUGGAAACUGUUUGGCUCGAGUCCGGAAGAGGCGAGUGGAAUUCCUGGUGUAGCGGUGAAAUGCGCAGAUAUCAGGAGGAACACCAAUGGCGAAGGCAGCUCGCUGGGACGUGACUGACGCUGAGACGCGAAAGCGUGGGGAGCAAACAGG
rnacentral:rRNA from 1 species